rnacentral:lncRNA from 1 species
GGAAGGCCACAAAAGAUUCGGGACACGGAUGUGCUACUCCGUAGGGAUUAAUUGAAGCUCCACAACCGGUACUCGGAGGGCAAAAGGAGGUAGAAAAAUGUCAUUGAAUAAGCCGUAAUUAACGUAGAUUGUGUAUAGCAAAUAAGGAGAAAUUCUUUAGCUUAUUUUAUAAAUAAAAUUAUUGUAUGAUGUACGGAUUGGAUGCAGUAAUUGCUAUGUUUUAGUAGUUGCUUUAAAAUCUACUUUUUUAUCGUCUUAGGUGUUUAGUCUCGUUGUAUUUUAUGUUAGCAUGGUUCGGUUA